rnacentral:rRNA from 1 species
UACAGAGGUCUCAAGCGUUGUUCGGAUUCAUUGGGCGUAAAGGGUGCGUAGGCGGCGCGGUAAGUCGGGUGUGAAAUCUUGGAGCUUAACUCCGAAACUGCAUUCGAUACUGCCGUGCUUGAGGACUGGAGAGGAGACUGGAAUUUACGGUGUAGCGGUGAAAUGCGUAGAUAUCGUAAGGAAAGACCAGUGGCGAAGGCGGGUCUCUGGACAGUUCCUGACGCUGAGGCACGAAGGCCAGGGGAGCAAACGGG